AUCUACAGGCUUAACACAUGCAAGUCGAGGGGCAGCAUGGUCUUAGCUUGCUAAGGCCGAUGGCGACCGGCGCACGGGUGAGUAACGCGUAUCCAACCUGCCUUACACUCUUGGACAGCCUUCUGAAAGGGAGAUUAAUACAAGAUGUUAUCAUGAGUAAGCAUUUUCGCAUGAUUAAAGGUUUACCGGUGUAAGAUGGGGAUGCGUUCCAUUAGAUAGUAGGCGGGGUAACGGCCCACCUAGUCUUCGAUGGAUAGGGGUUCUGAGAGGAAGGUCCCCCACAUUGGAACUGAGACACGGUCCAAACUCCUACGGGAGGCAGCAGUGAGGAAUAUUGGUCAAUGGACGAGAGUCUGAACCAGCCAAGUAGCGUGAAGGAUGAAGGUUCUAUGGAUUGUAAACUUCUUUUAUACGGGAAUAAACGGAUCCACGUGUGGAUUUUUGCAUGUACCGUAUGAAUAAGGAUCGGCUAACUCCGUGCCAGCAGCCGCGGUAAUACGGAGGAUCCGAGCGUUAUCCGGAUUUAUUGGGUUUAAAGGGAGCGUAGAUGGGUUGUUAAGUCAGUUGUGAAAGUUUGCGGCUCAACCGUAAAAUUGCAAUUGAUACUGGCAGUCUUGAGUACAGUUGAGGUAGGCGGAAUUCGUGGUGUAGCGGUGAAAUGCUUAGAUAUCACGAAGAACUCCGAUUGCGAAGGCAGCUUACUAACCUGUAACUGACAUUGAUGCUCGAAAGUGUGGGUAUCAAACAGGAUUAGAUACCCUGGUAGUCCACACGGUAAACGAUGAAUACUCGCUGUAGGCGAUAUACAGUCUGCGGCCAAGCGAAAGCAUUAAGUAUUCCACCUGGGGAGUACGCCGGCAACGGUGAAACUCAAAGGAAUUGACGGGGGCCCGCACAAGCGGAGGAACAUGUGGUUUAAUUCGAUGAUACGCGAGGAACCUUACCCGGGCUUAAAUUGCAACCGAAUAUGGCGGAAACGCUAUAGCUAGCAAUAGCGGUUGUGAAGGUGCUGCAUGGUUGUCGUCAGCUCGUGCCGUGAGGUGUCGGCUUAAGUGCCAUAACGAGCGCAACCCUUGCCGAUAGUUACUAACAGGUCAUGCUGAGGACUCUGUCGGGACUGCCAUCGUAAGAUGUGAGGAAGGUGGGGAUGACGUCAAAUCAGCACGGCCCUUACGUCCGGGGCUACACACGUGUUACAAUGGGGGGUACAGAGGGCUGCUACCACGCAAGUGGAUGCCAAUCCCAAAAACCUCUCUCAGUUCGGAUUGAAGUCUGCAACCCGACUUCAUGAAGCUGGAUUCGCUAGUAAUCGCGCAUCAGCCACGGCGCGGUGAAUACGUUCCCGGGCCUUGUACACACCGCCCGUCAAGCCAUGGGAGCCGGGGGUACCUGAAGUGCGUAACCGCAAGGAGCGCCCUAGGGUAAAACUGGUGACUGGG
rnacentral:rRNA from 1 species